UAAUGAUGGCCAGGCUGUCUCCACCCGAGACUCAGUGAAAUUGAACUCGCUGUGAAGAUGCAGUGUACCCGCGGCAAGACGGAAAGACCCCGUGAACCUUUACUAUAGCUUGACACUGAACAUUGAGCCUUGAUGUGUAGGAUAGGUGGGAGGCUUUGAAGCGUGGACGCCAGUCUGCGUGGAGCCGACCUUGAAAUACCACCCUUUAAUGUUUGAUGUUCUAACGUGGACCCGUAAUCCGGGUUGCGGACAGUGUCUGGUGGGUAGUUUGACUGGGGCGGUCUCCUCCUAAAGAGUAACGGAGGAGCACGAAGGUUGGCUAAUCCUGGUCGGACAUCAGGAGGUUAGUGCAAUGGCAUAAGCCAGCUUGACUGCGAGCGUGACGGCGCGAGCAGGUGCGAAAGCAGGUCAUAGUGAUCCGGUGGUUCUGAAUGGAAGGGCCAUCGCUCAACGGAUAAAAGGUACUCCGGGGAUAACAGGCUGAUACCGCCCAAGAGUUCAUAUCGACGGCGGUGUUUGGCACCUCGAUGUCGGCUCAUCACAUCCUGGGGCUGAAGUAGGUCCCAAGGGUAUGGCUGUUCGCCAUUUAAAGUGGUACGCGAGCUGGGUUUAGAACGUCGUGAGACAGUUCGGUCCCUAUCUGCCGUGGGCGCUGGAGAACUGAGGGGGGCUGCUCCUAGUACGAGAGGACCGGAGUGGACGCAUCACUGGUGUUCGGGUUGUCAUGCCAAUGGCACUGCCCGGUAGCUAAAUGCGGAAGAGAUAAGUGCUGAAAGCAUCUAAGCACGAAACUUGCCCCGA
rnacentral:rRNA from 1 species